AUAAUUUAGAACAAAGAAGAAAUAUUCUUAAUAGAAGUAUAAGUAGAAGGAAUCUAAACAUAAUACCUAGAAUUAGGAAAAAUAUAUCAGACGAAUAUUUAGAAAAACAAUAUUAUAUAAAAAGGAAGAAUAAUAAGAAAUGGAAUAAGAAUACUAGUACCAAUCUUAUUUGCUACUAAUGCAGGAGAAAAUUAUAUAGCUGAACAACUAAUAAGUGAGAUUGAUAAGAUAGAAGAAAGUCAUCACACAUAUACUAAUUUUAUUACACAACAAGAAGAAACAAGUAUGGAAAAAAUAAAUAGCCCAAUAGUAAUACAAUGAUUAUUAUUCAACAUAAAUUUAGAAGUAAUGGAUAAUGAACCAGUAAUUAUACUAGGAAUUAAAUGGUUAAAUAUGGUAGAACUAUGGAAUCUAACAGAAUCUGAAU
rnacentral:lncRNA from 1 species